rnacentral:rRNA from 1 species
AACAAGGAUUCCCCUAGUAACGGCGAGUGAACCGGGAAGAGCUCAAAUUUGAAAUCUGGCGUGCUCAGUGCGUCCGAGUUGUAAUCUAUAGAGUCGUUUUCCGUGCCGGACUGUGUCCAAGUCCCUUGGAACAGGGUAUCAAAGAGGGUGAUAAUCCCGUACUUGACACAAUGACCGGUGCUCUGUGAUACGUCUUCUACGAGUCGAGUUGUUUGGGAAUGCAGCUCAAAAUGGGUGGUGAGUUCCAUCUAAAGCUAAAUAUUGGCGAGAGACCGAUAGCGAACAAGUACCGUGAGGGAAAGAUGAAAAGCACUUUGGAAAGAGAGUUAAACAGUACGUGAAAUUGUUAAAAGGGAAACGAUUGAAGUCAGUCGUGACUGAGAGGCUCAGCCGGUUCUGCCGGUGUAUUCCCCUCAGUCGGGUCAACAUCAGUUUUGUUCGGUGGAUAAGGGCAGUUGGAAGGUGGCACCCUCGGGUGUGUUAUAGCCAGCUGUCGCAUACAUCGGAUGAGACUGAGGAAUGCAGCUCGCCUUUAUGGCCGGGGUUCGCCCACGUUCGAGCUUAGGAUGUUGACAUAAUGGCUUUAAACGACCC